UUUCAAUAACACUAUAUUUCAAUAUAAUUAUUUUCUUUUAUAAUCCUAAUUUUUUAUUUAAAAAAUUUUUUUAAAACCUUACCUUUCAUCUUAGAAUUGAUACUGUACAUUGGUUCCAAGGCCGAAAAAUGGUAACUUGCCAAGGAAAUAUCCAAAGCCAGAUUGGUAUCCAGGACCUCCUGUCUCUAAGCCUGCUGCUCCAUCCUCUGAGCCACCUAGCUGUACCCCCUUUAAUUUUUUUUUAAUUUUAUACACUUAUAAAACAUUAUUCUGAAGGGGUCCAUAUGCUUUACCAGUUUGCCAAAGGGGUCUGUGACCACUAAAAAGGUUAAGAACUCCUGAUCUAGUCUAACUCCCUCACUUUAUAGAUGAAGAAACAGAAACUCAGAAUGGUUAUCACUUGCUCAGGGUCAUCCAGGAAAUUCUUUAGUGAUAGAGAUGGGACCAGAACCUUAGCCACCUAACUCCAAGUGCCACUUUCCUUUCUCUACAUCUCAUUGCCUGGCCAAGCAACAAGAAGGCAGAGAAUUUGGACUAUGGGGGAACACAAGCCUGUGCGGUCACAGGCCAAAUAAUUACUACAGUAUUAGCUUAUGUAAGUGGAUAGGAGGCCAAUGCCAACGUGUGUUUAUGUUGCAGAAUGUAGCAAAAAGAAUCUCUUCUGGAUGAACCAGUAUGCCUCCAAAACAGAGCAGCCUGUUCCAAAGCAAUCAUCACCACAUGUCCAGUUGUACCACAAAGAGAACAGUGGCCAAAGGAAAUUUCCCAGAGAAAGAAGUUCAUUGAGUAGUGGAUCAUGGCCAGAUAUGAAGAGGAAAUGGAUCUCAUUUUUGGUGAGAAAGCCUUGUAUUCUAUAUUUUCUUAGCUGACACAGUGUGUCAAUGAUUAUAAGCUACAUUUUGAAUUUUAAAACUCUUCUAUUAUUAUAUUUUUCUUGCAUGUGCAAUAUACUAUUUCAGUCUUUUAUUUUUUCUCUCCUUUUUAUAUUUGAAGUACAUGUCACCAGUAUUAAGAUUUUCUUUAACUUUUUUGAUUUUGCAGUAAUAUAAGUUUACAUACAUUUGCUGAUGCAUGCCCCCAAAGCUUAAGACUAUAAAAAUGAUGCCACUAAUUGUUUUUUAAAAAUUAUGGGACUUUGCUUAAUGAUUCUGUCUGAUUCUAGGACAAGAUAUACAAAAGAGCCAUUGCACAGGGCCAAUGAAGCACAAAGCUAAACCUGAUUAGUGCCACAAAGAGCACACAGAAUAUAUUAGUGUGAAGACUCAAGGUUGCGACACUUAACAUACGUUAAGACGUAGGCCUUCCUUGUAUCCACACUACUCUGAAAUUACUUACAGACGAGUAUCCCAAACUGUGAAUUUCAAAACUAUUCCACCCUAUUCAGACCAUUCUUUACAAGAUCGGAUUUUGCUAUUUCCUGAUCAAUAACAAUAGAGAUACUUGGAAUAACAGAAUCAGGUCUUGGAAACUACAAUCUCCACCCUACUCAGGGUAACAAGAUUAGGAAGGGCUGCAGCAAAACUCAAGAUUUAAUUAUUUUGAGAAUAUGGUCUUCAACAGACAUGUGCAAAAAAAGACAGACCUCUGGGCGGUCCUAGGUCAAGCUAGAGCCACCAUUGGCACAUGUGAGAUGCAGGAAGCAAGGUAGAGAACAGCCUCUGGAGUUCUUGUGACUUCCUAUGAGGAGGGCUAGAGGGAGUUGGAGGCUGGUGUUUGGAGUUGGAGGAGCCUGUGGACUGUUUUUCUCCAGAUUGGUCAUAUGAGUGAUAGGGAUUGAUCUCUUUCCUUGCCUUGGCUAUCCAGGGCCUUAAAGCCCGCUUUGGCUCAGCCUAAACAGAGUGGAUAUUUAAAACCUCUUUCCUUCUCUCCCCUUUCCUUCCCCCGCCCCUCUCUCCCUACUCCCCUCUAAUACUUUCUUCUUCCUGUUUGUAAUUAAACACCAUAAAAAAAAGUUGGCAGCUGACUUGAGUGUUUCAUUUAGGAAUUACAUAAGUGAAUUCCUUGGCGACCUUAAAUUAAUAUAUAUCAGUCUUUUAAAAUGAUUUCACUAUCACAAAACUUGGCUCCUACUUGGCUUCUACAAUCUGGUCCCUUUGCUGUCUUUCAUAGUGUGGCAAACUUUCUGUAGUUCUGGCUACUGACUGGGUAAAUGUUUACUUGCUUAUAUCAUUUUAAUUGGGCCCUGAUUCAUGGACCUGUUAUAGAUUUAUUUUUCCUUUACUUAGACUUUUUACACAUAAGACUUUGAUAGUCUAUAUUUUCAUCCAGAAAUUAUCUUUUUUAUUUGGAUUUUUCUGAUGUCUUUUUAAUUUCUCUUGCCAAUUGAUUCAUAUACCUCAUAACUCAGCCAUGAAUCCCUAAGUGAUCCCUGUGUUUUUCAAUCACCCUCUUCACAGGGGAAUGUAAAAAUAUUAUUAUUGUUAAUUGCAAAGUUUAAAUUCCUUUUGAGAAGAAUUUUAGGUUAAGAAACAUGCUACCUCUCCGAAUCCAGAAACUGAACUGUUUGGAGAAGGCACCAUGAAGAUGCCUCCAGACCACAAGCUGCACAAGAAAAUCAAGAAUGAACUUUGGGUGUGGUUGAUUGAACAUUUAUUUGUAGGUAUACUUUCAUGCCAAAGGGGACUGCCCCCUAACUGGUUUUUUGUCAAUGCAUCUAGCAAUUAUUUGUUUUGUUCUUUUCCUCUUAUCCUCAAAUUAUUGUAAUCUUUAAGUUGAUUAUGUUUCCAUGAUCCUUUUGUAUCAUUAACACAGCUUAACAGUUUGACAAAUGCUUGCUGACUGAUUGAUUGAAGCCUACAGACCUGAAUUUAAAUCUGUGUGACCCUUGACAAGUCACUCUACUCCCAAUAUGAGUUUCUUCAUACAAAAAAUAAAGGGGUUCCACUAGAUGAUUGCUAAUGUUGC
ensembl:lncRNA